AGUGAACGCUGGCGGUAGGCCUAGCACAUGCAAGUCGAACGGCAGCACAGUAAGAGCUUGCUCUUACGGGUGGCGAGUGGCGGACGGGUGAGGAGUACAUCGGAAUCUACUUUUUCGUGGGGGAUAACGUAGGGAAACUUACGCUAAUACCGCAUACGACCUACGGGUGAAAGCAGGGGAUCUUCGGACCUUGCGCGAUUGAAUGAGCCGAUGUCGGAUUAGCUAGUUGGCGGGGUAAAGGCCCACCAAGGCGACGAUCCGUAGCUGGUCUGAGAGGAUGAUCAGCCACACUGGAACUGAGACACGGUCCAGACUCCUACGGGAGGCAGCAGUGGGGAAUAUUGGACAAUGGGCGCAAGCCUGAUCCAGCCAUACCGCGUGGGUGAAGAAGGCCUUCGGGUUGUAAAGCCCUUUUGUUGGGAAAGAAAAGCAGCAGGUUAAUACCCCGCUGUUCUGACGGUACCCAAAGAAUAAGCACCGGCUAACUUCGUG
rnacentral:rRNA from 1 species